UCGGGUAGCUCAAUGGUAGAGCACCAGGCGCAGAAUCUGGCUGUUGCGGGUUCGAAUCCCGCACCGAA
rnacentral:tRNA from 1 species